AGUUCAAUGUUGUUGGUGAGUUUAUAUUAAUUGUUAUCAUUAAUUGAUUGGUAUUCACUUAUUCAUGCUUCAGGUUUUCCCCUGAGAAAAUUUGGUACAUUGAUCAGAUGCUUAAGGUUCUUUCUGAGGCAGGAAAUUUUGUGAAAGAUGAAGUAUGGCAUGCCCUUAUUGUUGUGAUAAGCAAUGCUUCCGAUCUCCAUGGAUAUACAGUUAGGGCAUUAUACAGAGCAUUCCAAACCUCAGCUGAAUAGGAAUGCCUUGUUCAAGUGGCAGUUUGGUGUAUUGGUGAAUAUGGUGAUUUGUUGGUAAACAAUGUUGGCAUGCUCGAUAUAGAGGAUCAAAUAACAGUGAGUUCAUCUUUCUUCCAUAU